CAAACGAGAGACACUUCCUCCUUUUAUAUAACUCUUGAAUUGCUAAACUAUAAUUGCUACUUGUUAAAUAUUGAAUGGAAGAGAGCAAAAUUGCUAGAAGAGAGAAUAAAUAGGAGUAAAAAGAUUAGAGAGGGAGAGGAUUGAUUUGAUGAAUUAGUGUGGUAAGAAUGAAAGAGGAUGAUCCUAUUUAUAGAAACACC
rnacentral:lncRNA from 1 species